rnacentral:lncRNA from 1 species
GCUCCUCAGUGUAGCUGUACAGCUCUGCGAGCUCUGCACCGCGGCUGUCGGUGUCCCCAUAUUCGAACUCCACGGUGGGGAAAUCCACGGAGCCCUCGGACUCCUUCCGUUGUCCCCUGAAGAGCUCCCGGCCCUUGGGGGGGGGCUGCGCUGGGGGCUGCCCCAUUCGGGCCCUCCCCGCGUUGGGGUUCGAGUUCGGGUUCGGUGUCCCCCCCGCCGCCUCCUCCAUCCGUUGCGCCCUCCGCGCCCCUCCGCGCACGUGGGGGUCGCGCC